rnacentral:rRNA from 1 species
AGAGGUGGCGAGCGUUGUUCGGAUUUACUGGGCGUAAAGGGUGCGUAGGCGGUUUUGUGUGUCGGGUGUGAAAUCUCACCGUCCAACGGCGAAACUGCAUUCGAAACUGCAGGACUAGAGUACAGGAGGGGAGAGUGGAAUUCUCGGUGUAGCGGUGAAAUGCGUAGAUAUCGAGAAGAACGCCGGCGGCGAAGGCGACUCUCUGGACUGAUACUGACGCAGAGGCACGAAAGCUGGGGGUAGCGAAGAGGAUUAGAUACCCUCGUAGUCCCAGCCGUAAACGGUGUGCACUUGGUGUGGGUGGCUUUGUCCCCCCCCAUCCGUGCCGUAGCUAACGCGUUAAGUGCACCGCCUGGGAGUACGGCCGCAAGGCUA